UAUACGGAAACGAAAGACCCAUCAUGCCCCGCAAGAAGGAUGGAGUUGGUGAUCAACAUUCAGUGUCUUGUCAGUGGUGGAAGAGAUACUCUGGAGCUGCUGCAGUGUGUCUGGGGCUGCUGUGUGUUCUCCUACUGGCUGGGAUCAUAGGCCUGUCUCUCUACCAGAGAAACCAGCUGACCUGUUCCAACACCCUGACUGAAGAGAGGGACCAGCUACAGACCAGCGGAAACAAUCUGACUGAAGAGAGAGACCAGCUACAGACCAGUUACAACACCCUGACCAAAGAGGGAGACCAGCCACAGACUAGC